rnacentral:tRNA from 3 species
GCCACCUUAGCUCAGUUGGUAGAGCACCCGCCUUGUAAGCGGACGGUCGCGAGUUCGAGUCUCGCAGGUGGCUCCG